rnacentral:rRNA from 1 species
GAUGAACGCUGGCGGCGUGCCUAAUACAUGCAAGUCGAGCGAACGGACGAGAAGCUUGCUUCUCUGAUGUUAGCGGCGGACGGGUGAGUAACACGUGGAUAACCUACCUAUAAGACUGGGAUAACUUCGGGAAACCGGAGCUAAUACCGGAUAAUAUUUUGAACCGCAUGGUUCAAAAGUGAAAGACGGUCUUGCUGUCACUUAUAGAUGGAUCCGCGCUGCAUUAGCUAGUUGGUAAGGUAACGGCUUACCAAGGCAACGAUGCAUAGCCGACCUGAGAGGGUGAUGGGCCACACGGGAACUGGGACCCGGUCCAACCCCCUACGGGGGGAAGCAGUAGGGAAUCUUCCGCAAGGGGGGAAGGCCUGACGGAGCAACGCCGCGUGAGUAAGGAAGGUCGUGGGAUCGAAAAACUCUUUUAUUAGGGAAAAAAAUAUUUGUAAGUAACUGGGCCCAUCUGGACGGUACCAAAUCAGAAAGCCCCGGCAAACUACG